UACGUAGGGAGCAAGCGUUGUCCGGAAUCAUUGGGCGUAAAGCGCGCGUCGGUGGCCCUGUAAGUCCGCUCUGAAAGUCGAAGGCUCAACCUUCGAAAGCGGGUGGAUACUGCAGGGCUAGAGUCCGGAAGAGGCGAGUGGAAUUCCUGGUGUAGCGGUGGAAUGCGCAGAUAUCAGGAGGAACACCAACGGCGAAGGCAGCUCGCUGGGACGGUACUGACACUGAGGCGCGAAAGCGUGGGGAGCGAACAGG
rnacentral:rRNA from 1 species